rnacentral:rRNA from 1 species
UACAGAGGCCCCAAGCGUUACUGAGAAUCACUGGGUUUAAAGGGCGCGUAGGCGGUUCGUACAGUCAGACGUGAAAUUCCUGGGCUCAACCUGGGGGCUGCGUUUGAUACGUGCGGACUUGAGUGCGGAAGAGGGUCGUGGAAUUCCCAGUGUAGAGGUGAAAUUCGUAGAUAUUGGGAAGAACACCGGUGGCGAAGGCGGCGACCUGGUCCGAUACUGACGCUGAGGCGCGAAAGCGUGGGGAGCAAACAGG